ACUCAAAUGAAUUGACGGGGGCCCGCACAAGCGGUGGAGCAUGUGGUUUAAUUCGAUGCAACGCGAAGAACCUUACCUGGUCUUGACAUCCACAGAACUUUCCAGAGAUGGAUUGGUGCCUUCGGGAACUGUGAGACAGGUGCUGCAUGGCUGUCGUCAGCUCGUGUUGUGAAAUGUUGGGUUAAGUCCCGCAACGAGCGCAACCCUUAUCCUUUGUUGCCAGCGGUCCGGCCGGGAACUCAAAGGAGACUGCCAGUGAUAAACUGGAGGAAGGUGGGGAUGACGUCAAGUCAUCAUGGCCCUUACGACCAGGGCUACACACGUGCUACAAUGGCGCAUACAAAGAGAAGCGACCUCGCGAGAGCAAGCGGACCUCAUAAAGUGCGUCGUAGUCCGGAUUGGAGUCUGCAACUCGACUCCAUGAAGUCGGAAUCGCUAGUAAUCGUGGAUCAGAAUGCCACGGUGAAUACGUUCCCGGGCCUUGUACACACCGCCCGUCACACCAUGGGAGUGGGUUGCAAAAGAAGUAGGUAGCUUAACCUUCGGGAGGGCGCUUACCACUUUGUGAUUCAUGACUGGGGUGAAGUCGUAACAAGGUAACCGUAGGGGAACCUGCGGUUGGAUCACCUCCUUACCUGAAAGAAGC
rnacentral:rRNA from 1 species